CACGUAGGGCGCGAGCGUUGUCCGGAAUUAUUGGGCGUAAAGAGCUCGUAGGCGGUUCGUCGCGUCGGCUGUGAAAUCCCGGAGCUCAACUCCGGGUCUGCAGUCGAUACGGGCGGACUUGAGUACUGCAGGGGAGACUGGAAUUCCUGGUGUAGCGGUGAAAUGCGCAGAUAUCAGGAGGAACACCGGUGGCGAAGGCGGGUCUCUGGGCAGUAACUGACGCUGAGGAGCGAAAGCGUGGGGAGCGAACAGG
rnacentral:rRNA from 1 species